CGGCAAUGCACUCUAUGGUACUAUUCCUUUAUCCCUCUCAACUCAUAAAUCUUUAAGCAAAUUAGUACUCGCUAGGAAUCAACUCGAAGGACCUAUCCCUUUAUUCAAGCUCGCAUCUAACCUAACUUACCUAGAUCUCUCGCACAACCGAUUCUUCGUACAUAUACCUUUAGAACUCCUAAAAACUAAUAAUAUUAAAUACCUAAAUCUAGGGCACAACAAAAUUUUUGGAUCUUUCCCCAUCGAACACGUAUUAUAUAUCCCUUCC